rnacentral:lncRNA from 1 species
UGGGCGUUUCUGAACUAAAAAAGAAAAAGAAAACAAUAUAAUGUGCUUCAGAAUUUUACAUUCACCACUUACCCAGGGAAACUUUUGAGUGACUCAUCCCAUAUCUAAGCAACAUGAAUAUGCGGAGAAUUUUAGGACUUUUGUUUGCGCUUUCCUCUUUUUGUGCAGGAGAGGAACUAAAGUGUUCCGGCUACCGCUGUGACGAACUACUGGCAAAAAUAGAUAAACUGGAAUGUAGACUGGAAUAUACUAGGGAGCUGUUGGAGGAUAAAGAGGAUAAAGAGAAGACGCGAGCUUAUCCCGUUUCGACUCCAGCCUGUGUGCAAUGCCCAGAUACAUGGAUGCAAUACCAGGGAUCUUGCUACCUCUUUGUGGAUGCGAAAAGAAAUUUUAGCGGGGCCGAUUCACAUGCCUUGGACUCGGUGCUUAUUUAGUACAUAUCGAAAGUAGUUUGGAAAACGAAUUCCUAAAGAACCACCUGCGAACGUUAAAAGAGUAUAAAAGCUACUGGAUAGGGCUAACAGACGCUGCCACAGAAGGAAUACAUAGAUGGAUUUACGACAAUUCUACCACAUCAUUCACAGACUGGCAUCCAAGACAGCCUGACAAUAACGGAGGAAACGAAAAUUGUGUGCAUAUGUACAAUUUUAAAUGGAAUGAUUCUCCUUGCAACCAAUCCCUUAACUCGAUCUGCGAAAGGAAAACAAACCCAUAAUGCUUGAAGCUAAGCAGGAAUGAUAUAAUUGUUUCAUAAUAUUGUAACCAUAUCUAAUACGAGAUUUCCUAUUUGGCUUAUUGAUAAUGUAAUAUUCCUAUGGCUCGAACGUAACUACUGCCAAAUAUAUUUUUUCAAAAUGACUCAAAAACUCAAGUACAUUAAUAUAUCAGCUGUCAUUAGAUUAUAUCUGAUGAAUUGUUUUAGACAUGUCCCUCGAUAAUGUUUUUUUUUAAAGUUCUAUUUAUUGACUCUUUACUGUAAUAUAUGAAGUAUCUUUCAACUUCUCGCAAUUUAUUAACACAGUUUUAUUUUCUUAAAAAGAACUGCAUCUAUUUUCUUUUCUGUCUGUAUAAAAUAAAACUGAUGUAACGUUUUGUGUUCGUCUCAAUAUUUGAAAAAAAAGUCGCAGUUUAAGCAGAAUAUUGUUAGGCCAUCCAACUGAUCUAAACACGAUUAGUAACCUGAAACUUGUACAUGUAUAUUUUUGAUCACAUAGAACCAGAAGUUACAUCAACAAUAUCGACGCGCGUAUUUUAUGUCAGACCUAAAACACGGUAUUAAUCGAUAGCCCUACCUGUUCUUGAUCAAUCUAUACCGGUGAUCCGCUUGGAAUACGUUUAUUUAGAAAGAUAUGCGAGAAAUACUUCGCUUAUAUCGGUCUUUCGCUCCGCGACAUUUGUUUACUUCCGGUUGCUCCGGUGUCACUGUACGUUUUACGUAACGUCAUUUUCGAUUGGAUAGUAGCUAUCUCCACGCACGUCACGUACCGUUGUCGUAUGCGGAGCUGUGCUAAAACUAUAAAAAGCCUGUUUUUCGGCUUCUCAUUUGUCAAUCUUUCCUCCACCCUGAAGACAGUAUCCCCUAUGUAAAAUGCAUAAAUAUCGGCUCCACAAAUAUUAAUUAUCCUGACAUAAGCAUACUGUUUAAGAGUCAUAGAACAGUAACUUCUGGAGAUAUGUGGAAUUUAUGAAUACUUUGUAAACUACUGAAUAUAUUAUACUGGAACUGCUAGAACUUUAUAUCUGAAUAAAAGAUGUGUGACUGAA